rnacentral:rRNA from 1 species
UACGUAGGUGGCAAGCGUUGUCCGGAUUUAUUGGGUUUAAAGGGUGCGUAGGCGGCCUUGUAAGUCAGUAGUGAAAUACCCCAGCUUAACUGGGGGGGUGCUAUUGAUACUGGAGGGCUUGAGUACAGAUGAGGUAGGCGGAAUUGACGGUGUAGCGGUGAAAUGCAUAGAUAUCGUCAAGAACACCGAUAGCGAAGGCAGCUUACUAAGUUGUAACUGACGCUGAGGCACGAAAGUGUGGGGAUCAAACAGG